UGGGGAAUAUUGGGCAAUGGACGCAAGUCUGACCCAGCAACGCCGCGUGAAGGAAGAAGGCUUUCGGGUUGUAAACUUCUUUUGUCAGGGAACAGUAGAAGAGGGUACCUGACGAAUAAGCCACGGCUAACUACGUGCCAGCAGCCGCGGUAAUACGUAGGUGGCAAGCGUUGUCCGGAUUUACUGGGUGUAAAGGGCGUGCAGCCGGGCUGGCAAGUCAGGCGUGAAAUCCCAGGGCUCAACCCUGGAACUGCGUUUGAAACUGCUGGUCUUGAGUACCGGAGAGGUCAUCGGAAUUCCUUGUGUAGCGGUGAAAUGCGUAGAUAUAAGGAAGAACACCAGUGGCGAAGGCGGAUGACUGGACGGCAACUGACGGUGAGGCGCGAAAGCGUGGGGAGCA
rnacentral:rRNA from 1 species